UGCGGUUUUGGGUGCGAUUUU
rnacentral:siRNA from 1 species